GAUGAACGCUGGCGGCGUGCCUAAUACAUGCAAGUCGAGCGAAUGACGAGGAGCUUGCUCCUCUGAUUUAGCGGCGGACGGGUGAGUAACACGUGGGUAACCUGCCUGUAAGACGGGGAUAACUCCGGGAAACCGGAGCUAAUACCGGAUGAUAACGAGAAGCGCCUGCUUCUUUUUUGAAAGUCGGUUUCGGCUGACGCUUACAGAUGGGCCCGCGGCGCAUUAGCUAGUUGGUGAGGGAACGGAUCACCAAGGCGACGAUGCGUAGCCGACCUGAGAGGGUGAUCGGCCACACUGGGACUGAGACACGGCCCAGACUCCUACGGGAGGCAGCAGUAGGGAAUCUUCGGCAAUGGACGAAAGUCUGACCGAGCAACGCCGCGUGAGCGAUGAAGGCCUUCGGGUCGUAAAGCUCUGUUGUCAGAGAAGAACAAGUACCGGAGUAACUGCCGGUACCUUGACGGUACCUGACCAGAAAGCCACGGCUAACUACGUGCCAGCCGCCGCAGUAACAC
rnacentral:rRNA from 1 species